CUUGAACGUUCGUUGCAAUCGAUGUUUAGCGUUGUAUUCUGAGUUUGUGCAAAUAAUAGUACAUUGUGUUCAGGUGCAACAGUCGGGAAAAAUAAGUAAUUUCUGCGAACAUCUUUCCAAUUAAAAAGAAUUGCGUUACCAUCAUCAAACACUCGCUUGACAUCAAAUGUGCUUGCUGACGGAGGUACAGCUUAUGACAUACUCUACCAAGAUUUAGAGGUUAUUUCAAAAACCAAAUGGUGGUCCGGAUUUUAAAAAUGUCACAUCGCCAAUAUUAUUCACCGAGUGAUCAAGUAACCUACAACGACUUGAAUUGGAACAAAAUUUCAUGCACGAGUUUUCACGCAGGAGUAUUAGGUAACCGAUCAUCACAUUAUACUUCUGCAGAACACACGGUCAGUAUAAAUUGGGAACCAUUUUGCUAUAGAUCACCCAAUACCCGAUUAAAAAAGUUGAUAAGGUUGUCAUACAUAAAAUAUUUAUGUAUUAUUAAUAAUAUACUAUGAAUACAAG